UAACAUAUGCUUGUCUCAAAGAUUAAGCCAUGCAUGUCUAAGUAUAAACAACUUUAUACUGUGAAACUGCGUACAGCUCAUUAAAUCAGUCAUUAUUUAUUUGAUGGUUUCUUACUUCACAUGGAUACCCGUAGUAAUUCUAGAGCUAAUACAUGCAAAAAAUCCCGACGCAAGAAGGGAUGUAUUUAUUAGAUAAAAAACCAAUGCGCCCUCUGGGCGGUUGUGGUGAUUCAUAAUAACUGAUCGAAUCGCAUGGCCUCGUGCUGGCGAUAGUUCAU
rnacentral:rRNA from 1 species